UAACAAAGCAAGUAACCAUGAUAGCAAGGCAAUGGAGGAAAAAACCAAACAUAAUACCCCUUCAAUAGAGUAUAAGAUGCCUCUUGUUUGGAUCGACUUAGAAAUCACUGGUUUGAAUGUUGAAGUUGAUCAGAUACUGGAGAUUGCUUGUAUAAUUACCGAUGGCAAUUUAAACAAACAAGUGGAGGUACUUUUCUAUUUUGGUAUUGUAAUAUGAACCUUCUUCUAGCAUUUUUUUCUUCUACUAAAGUAUUUGCUUUUGUGUAUGGAAAUUUUGGUUGUGUUUUCUUGUUUUUCAUUUGACACCUCUUUCAUAUGUUAGUUUUUAUAUA